UAAUAAUAAUAAUAAUAAUAAUAAUAAAACAAUCAUAGAAUAAAUACAAUAAAAAGAAGAACCACAAUAUAUAUGUUUUAACUUGUCACAUAAACAAGACUGUGAUUAAGAUUAAGAGAGAAAAAAAAAAGAAGCUGUGUGUAUAUAUGCCCGUAGCAAUUACAAAAAUUAACCAAAAAAAAAAAAAUAAAAUAAAUAAAAAAAAUAAAUACAAAAAAUAAAUACAAAAAAUAAAUACAAAAAAUAAAUAAAAAAAAUAAAUACAAAAAAUAAAUACAAAAAAUAAAUACAAAAAAUAAAUAUAAAAAAUAAAUAUAAAAAAUAAUAACAAUGUUAAAGAAAAAAACUCAUUAUUAGCAAAAUAUAAAAUAGUAAAAAUAACUUAAAAAAUUACAAUGAUAAAUUAAUACAAAAGUAAUGUGUUAAAAAAAAAUAUUUUUGUGGUAAUAAAUUUAAAAAAAAAAAAAAAAAAAAAAAAAAAAGGGGUGAACGUUUAUAAGGGGUAAACGUUUAUAAGGGGUGAACGUUUAUAAGGGGUAAAUGUUUAUAAGGGAUAAACCUUUAUAAGUCAUAUCCAAAUAUUGUACGUACGUAUAUAUAUCAUUUUAAACUAUACUACACUAUCAUAAACAAAUAAACUUAACUGUAACUCGUCUUUUUCUAGAUUCAAAUCAUCGAAUUUACAGAAAUUAUAUGCAUUUUGAUAAUAUUCUUUUGACAAAUAAGUGAAAGGUCCUCUAGUUAUUCCAUUAAGUGAAAAACAUAUAUAUUCUUCUAAGAGGCCAUAAUUUUGUAGUUGUUUCAAUCCAAUGCUUACAUAACUAAAACGAAAAAAAAGGAAAAUUAAACAACAAAAAAGAUUUUAUCAUUAUACAAUGAGAAAGGGCACGUUUGUAUGUACUUAAAUAAACAGAGAGCAUGUACAAACAGACAUACAAUUGCAUAAAUGAAUAAAAGUAUUAUCAGCUGCUUACUCUUUUUUCGCGGAUUUAUGCCCAUCUAACCAAAUUUUUAAUUUGAAUAAUUUUUUACCGGCAAAAGAAAAAGCGGAAGUAGUAAGAGGGAUAUUGCCCAUUUCUCUGAAUCUCCAAAAUAGUUUCUACAUCAGAAAAAAAAAAAAAAAAAAAAAAAAAAAAAAAAAAAAAAAAAAAAAAGGAAUUUUUUUUAACAUGGUAGGCUUAAUAAACAUGUGUUAAACUCGUUUGGAAAAUCUUAAAAACACUUGUUUUAAAUUGUUUUGAAGUGAAAAAAAAAAAAUGAAUAAUUAAAAAAAAAUAAAAAUGCAUACAUAUGUACUAAAUAUAUACA
rnacentral:lncRNA from 1 species